UAGGCGGCGGAAGAUAACCCAAAAGGGAUUCCUUCAGUAAUGGCGAAUGAACGGGGAAAAGCUCAGCAAAGAAAUCAGGGACCCCGGCCUUGAGUUGUGGACUUGAGAGGUAUUGCCAAUGGUGGCGCAGGUGCGGGCCUCUUGGAAAAGGGCACCACAGAGGGUGUGAGUCCUGUUUGUCAUCUGUAGUCCGCCAUGUACGGCAUGACUCCUCAGAGUCACGUUCCUUGGAAUUGGAGCGCGAAGGUGGUGGUGGCUUUCAUCUCAAGCUAAGUAUGGGUUCGAGACCGAUAGCAAACAAGUACCAUGAGGGAAGAUUGAAAAGAGCUUUGGAAAGAGAGUUAAAAGUGCCCGAACUUGCUGAUAGGGAAGCGAAGGGAGCUGACGUUGCUUGGUGACAUAUUCCGCGCAAGAGUAGGAUGGGUUCUGAUUGCAAUCUGCGUAGUGCUUCUUGCCGUGCGUGUCGAUGCCAAGCAAUGAGUGGGGAGAGCACCAGGGAUAAUGAUUGUUUCUGUCCCCGGGUGGCCGAAGGUGCCUGGUCGCAUCCAUUUGUGGGCUGAAACAAAUGGUGGCUGGUUGCAGCGCCCUGUGCCUGCUAGGCAGUUGGGGUGUAGCCCUGAUACGCAGACGAGACAAAGUGCUUCUGUUCGACCCGUCUUGAAACACGGACCAAGGAGUCUGACACUCAUGCAAGCUCGCCGGUGGGUAAACUUGUUGGCGUAAUUAAGGUGUCUGUUGUGAUUUUUGUGCACCAACGCCCGACCAAUCAAUCGAGAGAGGUUUGAGUGUGAGCAUUUCUGUCAGGACCCGAAAGAUGGUGAACUAUGCUUGAGAAGGGUAAGUUCAGGGGAAACUCUGAUUGAGGCUCGUAGCGAUACUGACGUGCAAAUCGUUCGUCAUACUUGGGUAUAGGGGCGAAAGACUAAUCGAACCAUCUAGUAGCUGGUUCCCUCCGAAGUUUCCCUCAGGAUAGCUGGAGUUGAACAGUUUUAUCAGGUAAAGCGAAUGAUUGGAGGAAUCGGGGGCGCGGCGCCCUCGACCUAUUCUCAAACUUUAAAUCGGUAAGAUCCAGUAGUUACUUAGGUGAACUUCUGGGAUCAAUGACGACUCCAAGUGGGCCAUUUUUGGUAAGCAGAACUGGCGAUGAGGGAUGAACCUGACGUUGGGUUAAGGUGCUCAAGUGCUCGCUCAUUAGACACCAUGAAGGGUGUUGGUUCAUUUUAACAGCAGGACGGUGGUCAUGGAAGUCGAAAUCCGCUAAGGAGUGUGUAACAACUCACCUGCCGAAUGGACUAGCCCCGAAAAUGGAUGGCGCUGAAGCGGGUGACUGAUACUCAACCAUGGCUGCACAUGCGCAGCAG
rnacentral:rRNA from 1 species